rnacentral:rRNA from 1 species
CCUACGGGCGGCAGCAGUGGGGAAUAUUGCACAAUGGGGGAAACCCUGAUGCAGCGACGCCGCGUGAGUGAAGAAGUAUUUCGGUAUGUUAAGCUCUAUCAGCAGGGAAGAGAAUGACGGUACCUGAGUGCGAAGCCCCGGCUCACUACGUGCCAGCAGCCGCGGUAAUACGCAGGGGGCAAGCGUUAUCCGGAUUUACUGGGUGUAAAGGGAGCGUAGACGGCGAAGAAAGUCUGAAGUGAAAGCCCGGGGCUCAACCGCGGAACUGCUUUGGAAACUGUGUGGCUGGAGUACCGGAGAGGUAAGCGGAAUGCGUGGUGUAGCGGUGAAAUGCGUAGAUAUUGGGAGGAACACCAGUGGCGAAGGCGGCUUACUGGACGGUAACUGACGUUGAGGCUCGAAAGCGUGGGGAGCAAACAGGAUUAGAUACCCCAGUAGUC